UACGUAGGGUGCGAGCGUUUGUCCGGAAUUACUGGGCGUAAAGAGUUCGUAGGCGGUUUGUCGCGUCGUUUGUGAAAACCCGGGGGCUCAACUUCGGGCUUGCAGGCGAUACGGGCAGACUUGAGUGUUUCAGGGGAGACUGGGAAUUCCUGGUGGUAGCGGUGAAAUGCGGCAGAUAUCAGGAGGAACACCGGUGGCGAAGGCGGGUCUCUGGGAAACGAACUGACGCUGAGGAACGAAAGCGUGGGUAGCAAACAGG
rnacentral:rRNA from 1 species